UACGUAGGGUGCAAGCGUUAAUCGGAAUUACUGGGCGUAAAGCGUGCGCAGGCGGUUGUGGAAGACAGAUGUGAAAUCCCCGGGCUCAACCUGGGAACUGCAUUUGUGACUGCACAGCUGGAGUGCGGCAGAGGGGGAUGGAAUUCCGCGUGUAGCAGUGAAAUGCGUAGAUAUGCGGAGGAACACCGAUGGCGAAGGCAAUCCCCUGGGCCUGCACUGACGCUCAUGCACGAAAGCGUGGGGAGCAAACAGG
rnacentral:rRNA from 1 species